UACGUAGGGUGCAAGCGUUGUCCGGAAUUAUUGGGCGUAAAGAGCUCGUAGGCGGUUUGUUGCGUCGGCUGUGAAAUCCCGAGGCUCAACCUUCAGACGUCGACCCAAACCCCCUGGCUAGAGUCCGGAAGAGGAGAGUGGAAUUCCUGGUGUAGCGGUGGAAUGCGCAGAUAUCAGGAGGAACACCGGUGGCGAAGGCGGGUCUCUGGGCAGUAACUGACGCUGAGGAGCGAAAGCGUGGGGAGCGAACAGG
rnacentral:rRNA from 1 species